rnacentral:rRNA from 1 species
AGCGAACGCUGGCGGCAGGCCUAAUACAUGCAAGUCGAGCGCACCUUCGGGUGAGCGGCGGACGGGUGAGUAACGCGUGGGAACGUGCCCUUUGGUACGGGAUAACUGAGGGAAACUUCAGCUAAUACCGUAUGUGCCCUACGGGGGAAAGAUUUAUCGCCAUUGGAGCGGCCCUGGUUGGAUUAGGUAGUUGGUGAGGUAAAGGCUCACCAAGCCUACGAUCCAUAGCUGGUCUGAGAGGAUGAUCAGCCACACUGGGACUGAGACACGGCCCAGACUCCUACGGGAGGCAGCAGUAGGGAAUCUUGCGCAAUGGGCGAAAGCCUGACGCAGCCAUGCCGCGUGUAUGAUGAAGGUCUUAGGAUUGUAAAAUACUUUCACCGGGGAAGAUAAUGACGGUACCCGGAGAAGAAGCCCCGGCUAACUUCGUGCCAGCAGCCGCCGUAA